UCUAUGUUUUUAGGAAAGGUACUUACGCAUCUAUUUUCAGUGGAUGUACUAAAUAAAGUAGGCGGAGGUAUUCUUGUUCUACUUGGAAUGUGGAU
rnacentral:tRNA from 3 species